rnacentral:rRNA from 1 species
UACGAAGGGGGCUAGCGUUGUUCGGAAUUACUGGGCGUAAAGCGCACGUGGGCGGAUUGGUCAGUUAGGGGUGAAAUCCCAGGGCUCAACCCUGGAACUGCCUUUAAUACUGCCAAUCUAGAGUUCGAGAGAGGUGAGUGGAAUUCCGAGUGUAGAGGUGAAAUUCGUAGAUAUUCGGAGGAACACCAGUGGCGAAGGCGGCUCACUGGCUCGACACUGACGCUGAGGUGCGAAAGCGUGGGAAGCAAACAGG